UACGUAGGGGGCUAGCGUUGUCCGGAAUCAUUGGGCGUAAAGAGCGUGUAGGCGGUCCGGUAAGUCCGUUGUGAAAGUCAAGGGCUCAACCCUUGAAUGCCGGCGGAUACUGUCGGGCUAGAGUCCGGAAGAGGCAAGUGGAAUUCCCGGUGUAGCGGUGAAAUGCGCAGAUAUCGGGGGGAACACCUAUGGCGAAGGCAGCUUGCUGGGACGGUACUGACGCUGAGACGCGAAAGCGUGGGGAGCAAACAGG
rnacentral:rRNA from 1 species